rnacentral:ncRNA from 1 species
AGAGUAGUUUUGGCGCGUCAAGUGCCACCGAACGGGACGUUGUCGGUGGACGAAAGAGGGGAGCUCCUUCUGCGGUGCCAAGGCGCGUCCGCU